CCGGGAUUGCCUCAGUAACGGCGAGUGAAGCGGCAACAGCUCAAAUUUGAAAUCCGACCCCCCCCGGGGCCCGAGUUGUAAUUUGGAGAGGGCGCUUCGGGGCGCGCCGCCGGUCCGAGUGCCUUGGAACAGGCCGCCGCGGAGGGUGAGAGCCCCGUACGCGGCCGGCGGACGACCCCGCCCGAAGCCCCUUCGACGAGUCGAGUUGUUUGGGAAUGCAGCUCCAAGCGGGUGGUAAAUUCCAUCUAAAGCUAAAUACCGGCCGGAGACCGAUAGCGCACAAGUAGAGUGAUCGAAAGAUGAAAAGCACUUUGGAAAGAGAGUCAAACAGCACGUGAAAUUGUUGAAAGGGAAGCGCUGGCCCCCAGACCGGCCUGCGGGCGAUCCCCUCCGGCGAGCGCCGGGGGGCACUCGCCCGCGCUCCGGCCAGCACGGGUUCGGGCGGCGGGACAAAGCGCCCGGGAACGUAGCUCCCUCCGGGGAGCCUUAUAGCCCGGGCGGUCAUGCCGCCCGCCCGGACCGAGGACCGCGCCUUCGGGCCAGGGUGCUGGCGUAAUGGGGGUCAGCGACCCGUCUUGAAACACGGACCAAGGAGUCUAACGUCCCCGCGAGUGUUCGGGCGUCAAACCCCCGGCGCGGAAUGAAAGUGAACGGAGGUGGGACCCCCGCGAGGGGCGCACCAUCGACCGAUCCUGAUGUCUUCGGAUGGAUUUGAGUACGAGCGCGGCCGUUGGGACCCGAAAGAUGGUGAACUAUGCCUGGGUAGGGUGAAGCCAGAGGAAACUCUGGUGGAGGCUCGCAGCGGUUCUGACGUGCAAAUCGAUCGUCAAACCUGGGCAUAGGGGCGAAAGACUAAUCGAACCAUCUAGUAGCUGGUUCCUGUCGAAGUUUCCCUCAGGAUAGCAGUCGCGCGGGCGGUUUUAUGAGGUAAAGCGAAUGAUUAGAGGCCUUGGGGGUGCAACACCCUUAACCUAUUCUCAAACUUUAAAUAUGUAAGAAGCCCCUGUUGCUUCGGUGAACGGGGGCGUGCGAACGCGGCGCGGCUAGUGGGCCAUUUUUGGUAAGCAGAACUGGCGAUGCGGGAUGAACCGAACGCGGGGUUAAGGUGCCGGAAUGCACGCUCAUCAGACACCACAAAAGAUGUCAAUUCAUCCGGACAGCCGGACGGUGGCCAUGGAAGCCGGAACCCGCCAAGGAGUGCGUAACAGCUCACCGGCCGAAUGAAUUGGCUCUGAAAAUGGAUGGCGCUCAAGCGUGCUACCCAUACCCCGCCGCCGGGGCAGGAGCGACGCCCCGGCGAGUAGGCAGGCGCGGGGGUCGGUGACGAAG
rnacentral:rRNA from 1 species